UACGAAGGGGGCUAGCGUUGUUCGGAAUUACUGGGCGUAAAGCGCGUGUAGGCGGGUCCUUAAGUCAGGGGUGAAAUGCCAAGGCUCAACCUUGGAACUGCCUUUGAUACUGGGGAUCUUGAGUCCGGGAGAGGUGAGUGGAACUGCGAGUGUAGAGGUGAAAUUCGUAGAUAUUCGCAAGAACACCAGUGGCGAAGGCGGCUCACUGGCUCAUUUCUGACGCUCAGGCGCGACAGCGUGGGGAUCAAACAGG
rnacentral:rRNA from 1 species